ACGGAAGGCAGCAGUGGGGAAUAUUGGACAAUGGGGGAAACCCUGAUCCAGCGACGCCGCGUGAGUGAAGAAGUAUUUCGGUAUGUAAAGCUCUAUCAGCAAGGAAGAAAAUGACGGUACUUGACUAUGAAGCUCCGGCUAAAUACGUGCCAGCAGCCGCGGUAAUACGUAUGGAGCAAGCGUUAUCCGGAUUUACUGGGUGUAAAGGGAGCGUAGACGGCAAAGCAAGUCCGAAGUGAAAUCCCGGGGCUCAACCCCGGAACUGCUUUGGAAACUGUUUAGCUAGAGUGCAGGAGAGGUAAGCGGAAUUCCUAGUGUAGCGGUGAAAUGCGUAGAUAUUAGGAGGAACACCAGUGGCGAAGGCGGCUUACUGGACUGUAACUGACGUUGAGGCUCGAAAGCGUGGGGAGCAAACAGGAUUAGAUACCCUGGUA
rnacentral:rRNA from 1 species